rnacentral:rRNA from 1 species
AGAGUUUGAUUCUGGCUCAGGAUGAACGCUGGCGGCGUGACUUAACACAUGCAAGUCGAACGGAGUUUUAACGGAAGUUUCGGAUGGAAGUUAGGAACUUAGUGGCGGACGGGUGAGUAACGCGUGGGUAACCUGCCUCAUACAGGGGGACUAACAGUUAGAAAUGACUGCUAAGACCGCAUAAUAUAGCGAAACCGCAUGAUUUUUGCUAUCAAAUAUUUAUAGGGUAUGGAGAUGGGCCCGCGUCUGAUUAGCUAGUUGGUGGGGUAAAAGCCUACCAAGGCGACGAUCAGUAGCCGGCUUGAGAGACGUGACCGGCCACAUUGGGACUGAGACACGGCCCAAACUCCUACGGGAGGCAGCAGUGGGGAAUAUUGGACAAUGGGGGAAACCCUGAUCCAGCGACGCCCGCGUGAGUGAAGAAGUAUUUCGGUAUGUAAAGCUCUAUCAGCGAGGGAAGAUAAUGACAGUACCUGACUAAGAAGCCCCGGCUAACUACGUGCCAGCAGCUGC